CACUACGCAGUGAGGGAGGAGCCUGCUGCACGUGGGAACCACGGGGCCCCUCUUCUGGGGUUUGAGGAGUUCCACCUUUUCACCCCUUCAGCCCCAGGGAAUCUUCGGCUGACCUUCGACUCUGGACGCCACUUGAGUGAGGUCCUGCGGACACAUUUUCCUGUUUGCGGAUGAAUCUCUCAGCCAGAGAAGUAUUGCACUGCUGGUUGUAGAUGUGACCUUGCACCGUAAUGGAAAAGCCCCAAAUGUCAUCCAACAUAAUCCAGAGCAGGAUAUUCAAGGAAUAAUGCACCACGACCAAUUACUGUAAAGAAGGUUAAAUGGUCCUCCAAUGACGAUGUGUGAAGGCGGGGCCAUAGGAGGAUGGCAAAGGAGCCCUGCUACGCGACCUAGCUCAUUAAAAUCUGGAUUGUACACUUGCGGCUUCCGUGGACGGUUACCGCUAGUGCCGAGGGAACAUGGCGGCUCCCCGUACCGCGAUCUCAAAAUGACCUGUGAUGGAAAAGUCUAGUACUGGUCAGCCUGUGGCCUUGUGAUGGGAAGAGAGUGUACCCGGAACCAACAGUCAAGACCAGCCAGACAAGCAGGAUGGACCAGAUGGGAGUGUCAAAAACAAACUUCAGGAAUCCAGAGCUUGUGGGAGUGCUGCUCAUGCGCUUUUAUAUCAGGGCCAGCAAAUUUCCUCGGAGAUGACUGAGCGUCUCUUUGGAAACCAACCUCUUUCACUCUGCUAUGAUGCCAGGAGGUAGCCCGGCAACCCAGACUUCGCCUGGCUCUGAGCUGCAUUGUUUUCUGGCCAACUUGGAAGCCUUACAUUGAAGCUGAGGUGGCUCAGCACCAAGUUAGGGCUGGAGGGUGCUUCUUAACUGGCUGUGCCAAAAAGAACUCCUCUCUUUCCUUGCCUAUGUAAAGUUACUUCUUUUCCGGGCAGUGGUUAAUUUGUUGAAAGUCAGGUGUGGAGUUUUGACGGUCGGGGUGAGGGAGACUGCUAAAUAUCAGAACUAUUCGAAGGUGCGUUCGAUGACACUUUUUAUCUCUAGUUUCAUAGAUGGCCCUGGCUCCUCUAUUGCUUUAUCAGCAUGGGUUUUAUCCAGAAGCUGGCAUCACAGAACCUGAAGUUCACUCACGGAAGGUAAAAAAAUAAAAUAAAAUAAAAUAAAAAUCCA